UACGUAGGGUGCAAGCGUUGUCCGGAAUUAUUGGGCGUAAAGAGCUCGUAGGCGGUCUGUUGCGUCGGCUGUGAAAACCCGGGGCUCAACCCCGGGCCUGCAGCCGAUACGGGCAGACUAGAGUUCGGCAGGGGAGACUGGAAUUCCUGGUGUAGCGGUGAAAUGCGCAGAUAUCAGGAGGAACACCGGUGGCGAAGGCGGUUCUCUGGGCAUGACCUGACGCUGAGGAGCGAAAGUGUGGGGAGCGAACAGG
rnacentral:rRNA from 1 species